UCGAGAGUACGCAGAGGGCGCAGAGACGCGCAUGACGGAAGAUGAUGACGCACGAUACAGGGCACUUAUGUAGAGUUCUUGACGUACCUACGUCGUACUUGUAACGCAGUCACCCUUUAAUUAAAUAAAAUAUUUAAAAGAAGGUUUUAUUCUUUUACAAUCAGAAGUGGGAUAACAAAACCCGACGUGCGUAUUUCUACGACGUUUAAAUGUGUUGUUGUGUUGUUAUUAUGUGAAAAUUACGGCCAUCCAAUGUCACGCAAAAACUACGGAAAUGUGAACACCCUUGUGGACGAAGCUCAGUCAAACUGUAGGAAAAUCUGACGACGAUGGUAUCGACAAUGUUCAGUUUUACGUUAUUGUCGAAUUUAAUAUGAAAAACGAACAACUAGUUAACGAAAUUCCGAGAAUGUGGCCAUAUAAGCAAUCUCAUCAGGGGCGCGAGAAGAUGCCUUGCUUACAAUUUAUUGGGAGGUUGAUUUCUUGCCAGCUGACUACGAGUAAACGGAUGCUUGACUGGUGACAAUUCAUAAGUAUUUGUAAUUAUUGCAACAAACCUUUGUAACUCUUCUUAUGGUAAUAAUUUUCCACGUAAUGGAUGUAAGUAUUACGCUAAAAUGUUACUACGAAAGCUUUCUUUCGGCAAAGACAUGACGAGUAGAUGGAAGUAGUCAACGGACUAGCUACCACUGCUGAAGUGACGUUACGAACAGACGGAAGCAAUCGCAGGCCAGCAACUGAUACCUUAUACCAGGCCAGAGGAUCUGCUUCACGAAUUUUUAAGACCAACGGGUCUACUUUACGAGGCGCUUAGGCCAACGGGUCUAUGUUACGAUGCGCUAAGACCAACGGGUCUAUCUUACCAAGCGCUUAGGCCAACGGGUCUAUGUUACGAUGCGCUAAGACCAACGGGUCUACCUUACCAAGCGCUUAGGCCAACGGGUCUAUGUUACGAUGCGCUAAGACCAACGGGUCUACCUUACCAAGCGCUUAGGCCAACGGGUCUAUGUUACGAUGCGUUAAGACCAACGGGUCUACCUUACCAAGCGCUUAGGCCAACGGGUCUAUGUUACGAUGCGCUAAGACCAACGGGUCUACCUUACGAAGCGUUUGGACCAACGGGUCUACUUUAUAAAACGCUAAGACCAACGGGUCUACUUUACGAAGCGUUUGGACCAACGGGUCUGUUUUAUAAAACGCUAAGACCAACGGGUCUAUUGUAUGCGACGCUUUAACUAUUUCAAUCAAACCAGUUCAAAAAUAAAUAGAACCAGACAUAAGCCAUCAUUCAAUAAAAAUAAAACAAUAAAUAAAAAAAAAGUAAAUUAGAACUUUAGUAGCUUUAACAUUUAUUAUUACAAAAAUAAAACAAACUAUUGCGGGGCUUAUUUCAAAAUACAAUAAAAACAUUCGUAGAUCUACUAUUACACAAAUACAAUAAAACUAGCGCUAGAUUUAUAAAAAAAAAGACCACUCAAUAGGUCUACCACAAAGUAAGAUGACGAGACGAGUAAACUUAGGUUUACUUUAACAAAUAAGACGAGACCACUCAAUAGGUCUACUUCCAAGUUACGCCACGAGUAGACUUAGGUUUACUUUAAAAAUUAAGACGAGACCAACGGGUCUAUUUUACGAAAUAAUAAGACCAACGGGUCUUUUCUUUAACCAUUUUAGGAAAUCCAUCUUAACUAUUUUAGGGAAUUUACGUUAACCUUCUUAGGAAAUUCUGUAAUGAUGCUAAACGCAGAAAGUAUUUGCAUUUAAAUGCAGCCUAGAAAUUAUACGAUGGAAGGCCCAGAUGACGAUUAAAAUCUAAUGAGCAGAAAUAUGUAAGUUUCGAAACUUUCUAAAAUUUGUUUUAGUAUUCGGUUUCCAAUCACGGGUCUGUGGACAGCCCCAUAGUCAGGAUGGCCGAAUGUAAGAAUAAUUCUGAUACCACUUAACCUUGGCGUCUCGAUAAGGGUCGAGAGUACGCAGAGGGCGCAGAGACGCGCAUGACGGAAGAUGAUGACGCACGAUACAGGGCACUUAUGUAGAGUUCUUGACGUACCUACGUCGUACUUGUAACGCAGUCACCCUUUAAUUAAAUAAAAUAUUUAAAAGAA